rnacentral:rRNA from 1 species
CAAUAGCGUAUAUUAAAGUUGCUGCAGUUAAAAAGCUCGUAGUUGGAUCUCGGGUUCGGUUGGGUUGGUCCUGCCCAAGCAGGUACUGGCCCAGUUGGCCUAAUCAGUGGCGGACCAUCGGUUGUUUCGCCUCGGGUUCCCUUAGCUGGGUGCUCGCAGGCAGCCACUGGUUUUACCUUGAAAAAUUAGAGUGUUCAAGGCAGGUUUGAAAGCUCGGAUAUUUGUGCAUGGAAUAAUGGAAUAGGACUCUGGCGCCAUUCCGUUGGUCUCAUGGUGUUGUGAGUAAUGAUUAAGAGGGACUGCCGGGGGGCAUCAGUAUGGCGGCGUUAGAGGUGAAAUUCUGGGAUCGUCGCCAGACUACCAAAAGCGAAAGCAUUUGCCAAGAAUGUCUUCAUUAAUCAAGAACGAAAGUCAGAGGUUCGAAGACGAUCAGAU